AAGGCGGCGGGUGUGCAGCGCAGAUACGGCUGCUGCCUGCCUUUAUGGUGCGCCCAGACUUUGCUUUUCUGAACCGGGAGAUGCGCCUUUGCAGCUCCCUUCAGGCAGGACCAGCGCAGGUGGUUGGCGGCCUUGCUGCUGCUCGUCUUCCCGGAAGGCAGCUGGAAGAGGCCAGGUGGCACUUUCAACACGAUGCCUGGAAAUUUCCUCGGCCAGAUCACACAGUUCAUUGGUUCCAAUAAUAUUUUCCUCGCGUUUCUUCAAGUCUUUGCUGACAGACUUUUCAAGGCUGGUCCCCAAAGCCAGUGCACAUGUUUUAGGUUUUUAUUACAGCAGCAGCCACCCGAGUUCCAAAAUCUGUAUCAAUUAAAGUUUGAUUGGAGAAGCAAAACCACUUUGAGUGAAACAAGGAGUUUAUUGUAGGGAUUAGAAUGUACAUGAUUAUGGGAGCUGGUUAAGCAGUCUGUGCAAUCUGUUGUCCCUGCCUCAAGACGUGGGUCUGAAGUCAGUAGGCGAGGCUUGCUUCAGGAGGGGAGGAUGGAUGCCAAGUGGAGCUGUGAGGAGAGGAGACACACUCUGGAACCUGCGCGGAUGAGAUGGGACCUCUAUGUCCCACACUGCUCUGUAAUGCCUCCUGUCCUCCUGACGUCCAUGGCGAAGCAGACCUGCAGGACAGCUGGUGCACUUCAUCACAGAGUUAUUCACAAACCUAUGAUUCAGGGAUGCUGGAGAAGCAGGGAGCCCGCAGAUGCAUGGCGUUGUGUGCGAGCUGCCACAGUGCAGGCCUUCACCGACCUUGGGCCACAGCCAUGGCCGCCGCGUCACUUCCGCCUUCCAAAGGUUGCUCCCAUUCUUGGGGAAAUAUAGUUCCAGCUUAGCUAUAUUGACGUGGUACAAAGCCACCACAGUCCCGGUGGCCCCAGCUGGGGAUUAAGAGUACAGCCCGAGAAUGUGCAGUGUUUGUGUGUAAUGCCCACUCGAGCAUUUGUGUGAGUCCGGUGCCAAGAACUCACACAAAGGUAGGGAAAGCUAGUGCUUACAAAUCAGUGCUACUAGGUAACCAACACAUAAAAAGGACUAAGUGCCUACAAUAAAUUUUAAUAAAAUAGUAUUGAAAUGAUUAUGGAUGCUAUUCCAGCAUAUUCCAAACUGAUCAUUAAGAUAUUAAUAGGUUUUCUGCAUUAGUUUGCUAGGGCUACCACAACAAAGUACCAUAGACUCAGUGGCUUCAACAACAGAAAUGUAUUUUCUCACAGCUCUGGAGGCUCGAAGCCUGAGACCAAGGUGUUGGCGAGGUUGGUUUCUUCUGAGGCCUCUCUCCUUGGCUUGUAACCACUUUCUUGCUGUGUGUUCAAAUGAUCAUGUCUCUGGUCCUGCACCUGUUUGGUAUCUCUGUCUCCCUCCGGAUGUCCUCUUUUUAUAUAGACACCAGUUGUUGUAUUAGGGCCUGCUCUGAUGACUCACCUUGAACUUAAUUACUUCUCUAAAGGCCCUAUCUCCAAGUACAGUCACAUGUCACAUUCUGAGGCACUGGAGGUUCAGAUUUCAACUUAUGAAUUAGGAAGCCCAUAACAUUUUCUAUUAGUACAAUAAAGUUUGAUAAACGCUACAUGCCAUAUUUUCUUGGCAAUUCACGAAGUACAUUCGCAAUGAAAGAUUACACAAAGCCCAAUAUCUAUCUUUUACACACCCUAUUGUUUUAUACAUUAUUGGUAAUCCUAAAUUGUCUUUCAUCUUCUAUGCAUUGACUGGUGAUAUUGAGCUUCUGCACGGUGAUCUUACCCACUGGCCAGUGCCAGCAGUAAGGAAGGGAAGGUGGACGUGAGACGGAGGACAGGACGCACAAACUGGACCCUAGGUCUAUGGAGUUGGUCUGGUACUACCUCGAAGUCUUUAUAGAUGCUCAGAAUCUGAAAGAGGAUUAGGCAAGUUGGUAUUUACAGAAGAGGAAGCUUGCUCAGAGUGCGCCAGCAACUUGCGUGGUCCUGCAGCUGCUAUGGAGAGAGGUCUCCUGAUGGAAGAUCCGUGCACUUUGACUACACCACAACCUCAGUGCGUUUACCUUUUAUCCAGAGGGCUAUGUCUUCUGUGCACCAGUGUGCUGUAAUGAUAGAAAUCUCAUCCUCCUUUGCAUUCCCACAUCCAUAAAUGACACCAAGAACUCUGGCCUGUGCACCUGCAUUGUUGGCUAUAACGGGACGGAGUUGUGACUGAAAUGGCUCGAGAAGAGUCUGAAGCCUCCUGUGUUCUGUCAAGUCUGGGGGAUGGGACACACAAUCUCUCCUCCAGCAUCUUAGAACCCCGGGUGGUUCAGGCAAGGGACAUCCAUUCAUGCAACUGCAGGGGGAAUCACCAGGUCCGUGGAGUGGAGAGCCCCCCCCCCCACCUCCAAAAAGCUUCUUGUUCCCUUGCUGCUGCCAGACAGGAAAGGAAGACUCUGAAACCCAAUCUCUCUAUCCAGGGAUCGGAGACUGACCCUUUCAUAGGUGAGAGAUACAAUCUAACAGUACGUGACUUUCUGCUGGUUUUGCCCAGGAGACCUUAUGAGAACACAGCAGCCACACAGAGCUGGAGAAUAUUCCAGGAGGCGAGCACAGAGAAUAGAAAGCCCUGAGGCACAAAUGAACAGAGAGAGUCUUAGAAACAGAAAGACCAGUGUGAUGCUUUUUGGGUCUCGCAAACUUUUCUUGCCAAGGACCACCUAGUAAAUAUCUUAAGCCUUUGUGAGCUGCUCAGUCUUCGCUGCAGCUACUUAGCUCUCUGUGGCACAAAAACCGCCCUGGAUAAUAAUACAUACGCGAGUGAGCAUG